rnacentral:sRNA from 1 species
CGAGAGGAGCCGAUCUCAGGGUCCACUUCAAGGUAAAUUUCUUGUACUGAUUCCGGAUCUCAAAAAUGAAUUAGAUUAAGUGAUUUUCCUAUGGGGAUUAAGCUUGUAGUUUGAAUAAAACCUGAUUAACAAAAAGCAGGGUUCUGUUUUAUAUAACAGACCUCACGUAAAUGUCAGGAAAAUCGAAUUGGUCAUUGUGAAUGGGUGAGCCAAUGUUACUUCUAAUAGCAUAUGGUUCAGUACAUGAUGGUACAUUUUAGCUUAGCUCUGAAUCCUUUUUC